rnacentral:rRNA from 1 species
AGCGCAGGUGGUUUAAUAAGUCUGAUGUAAAAAGGCAGUGGCUCAACCAUUGUGUGCAUUGGAAACUGUUAGACUUGAGUGCAGUAGAGGAGAGUGGAAUUCCAUGUGUAGCGGUGAAAUGCGUAGAUAUAUGGAGGAACACCGGUGGCGAAAGCGGCUCUCUGGACUGUCACUGACACUGAGGAGCGAAAAGCAUGGGGAGCGAACA